AGAUUGAACGCUGGCGGCAUGCCUUACACAUGCAAGUCGAACGGCAGCACGGGAGCAAUCCUGGUGGCGAGUGGCGAACGGGUGAGUAAUACAUCGGAACGUGCCCAGUUGUGGGGGAUAGCCCGGCGAAAGCCGGAUUAAUACCGCAUACGACCUACGGGGGAAAGCGGGGGAUCGCAAGACCUCGCGCUAUUGGAGCGGCCGAUGUCGGAUUAGCUUGUU
rnacentral:rRNA from 1 species